rnacentral:rRNA from 1 species
GCCUAGCCAUAAACACAAAUAGUCUUCUACUCCGACUAUUCGCCAGGGAACAACGAGCCCCAGCUUAAAACCCAAAGGACUUGGCGGUGCUUUAGACCCCCCUAGAGGAGCCUGUUCUAGAAUCGAUAAUCCCCGUUCAACCUCACCCUCUCUUGUUUCCCCCGCCUAUAUACCGCCGUCGUCAGCUUACCCUAUGAAGGACAAACAGUAAGCAAAAUUGGCAAAACCCAAAACGUCAGGUCAAGGUGUAGCGCACGAGAGGGGAAGAAAUGGGCUACAUUUACUGAAACAGUAAACACGGAUCUUGCACUGAAACGUGCACUUAAAGGAGGAUUUAGCAGUAAGGGGAGAAUAGAGCGCCCCCCUGAAAACGGCCCUGAAGCGCGCACACACCGCCCGUCACUCUCCCCGAAAUAAUUAUCAAAUAAAUAAUAAACCACCCACUAUAAAGGGGAGGCAAGUCGUAACAUGGUAAGUGUACCGGAAGGUGCACUUGGAAAAACC